GAUGAAGAACGUAGUGAAAUGCGAUAAGUAAUGUGAAUUGCAGAAUUCAGUGAAUCAUCGAAUCUUUGAACGCAUAUUGCGCCCUCUGGUAUUCCGGGGGGCAUGCCUGUUCGAGCGUCAUUUCAACCCUCAAGCACAGCUUGGUGUUGGGACUCGCGUUAAUUCGCGUUCCCCAAAUUGAUUGGCGGUCACGUCGAGCUUCCAUAGCGUAGUAGUAAAACCCUCGUUACUGGUAAUCGUCGCGGCCACGCCGUUAAACCCCAACUUCUGAAUGUUGACCUCGGAUCAGGUAGGAAUACCCGCUGAACUUAAGCAUAUCAAUAAGCGGAGGA
rnacentral:misc_RNA from 1 species